CCUACGGGAGGCAGCAGUGGGGGAUAUUGCACAAUGGGGGGAACCCUGAUGCAGCGACGCCGCGUGGGUGAAGAAGUGCUUCGGCGCGUAAAGCCCUAUCGGCAGGGAAGAAACAAGACGGUACCUGACUAAGAAGCCCCGGCUAACUACUGGCCAGCAGCCGCGGUAAUGAGUAGGGUGCGAGCGUUAUCCGGAUUCACUGGGUGUAAAGGGAGCGUAGACGGCCAUGCAGGCCCGGGGUGAAAGCCCGGGGCCUAAACCCGGGACUGCCCUUGGAACUGCAUGGCUGGAGUGCGGGAGGGGUAGGCGGAAUGCGUGGUGUAGCGGUGAAAUGCGUAGAUAUCAGGAGGAACACCGGCGGCGAAGGCGGCCUGCUGGACCGCGACUGACGUUGAGGCUCGAAAGCGUGGGGAGCGAACAGGAUUAGAUACCCUUGUAGUC
rnacentral:rRNA from 1 species